AGCCGCGGUGGGAGGAGGCACCGGCCGCGCGGCGGGAGGAGGUGCCGGCCGAGCACCGCAGACAGCGCCGGGAAGAUGAGCACGGAAGGUGGUGGCCGUCGCUGCCAGGCACAAGUGUCCCGCCGCAUCUCCUUCAGCGCGAGCCACCGAUUGUACAGUAAAUUUCUAAGUGAUGAAGAAAACUUGAAACUGUUUGGGAAAUGCAACAAUCCAAAUGGCCAUGGGCACAAUUAUAAAGGUGAGAGAAAAACUGAUGACAUUUCAGCCCUUCAAUAAGGAUGAAAGAGUAUUCAGCAAAUGUAGACAUAAAGAAUGGGAAAACUUACGGACACAGUGUGAAUGCUUUGAGCCUUGAAUGAGAAAUUAAAUGGGAGUUCAGAAUGAAAGGAUCUGUUGUCUUGGUUGGGUGUGUGUUAAGUUUUACCUUGCAAUGUCAACUCUUACAAACAGUCCAAAACAAUGAAUGGUUUAAAGCAUUUUUCUUUGUCCUAGAGUACACAACAAGUUUCUUUCUGAUUAGGUAUGGCCAAGGCUAAUGUUAAAAUUAGAUUUUAUUCUUUGAGUAAAUAAUGACUGACAAAAGGGGAAUGUUGCCUAGGAAUGUAAUGUAUGGCAGAAAAAUAGGUUUGGUCUAAAGCUUUGCCAGCAGUGUUCGAAGAAAGUAGGUAAUUUGUUCAAGGAUAAGAGACUUGAUUCUUUGAGGUACAGCCUGCCUUAAAAAACAGGUACAUAAGUCGUAGAGUAUAAAACAGUAUGUGGUGUGGUGGCAUAAAAAAAAACAGACAAGGUGUCAGGAGAUUAGGAUUACUGGUUUAGCUACAGCCUCUUCCUUAAUCUAUGGUAUCUCAGUCUCAGUGUACUCACUUACAUGUAAUAUCUAAUGGUAUUUGUACAGAACUAAAAUACAUAAAUUCAUAAAAGUUAUUAAUGUGUAAAGCACUGAUAAAGUUUUUUUUUGUUGUUGUUGUUUUUUUUUUUGAGAUGGAGUUCCACUCUUUUUGCCCAGGCUGGAAUGGUGUGAUCUCCCGUCACUACAACCUCCACCUCCCAGGUUCGAGCGAUUCUCCAG
rnacentral:lncRNA from 1 species